AUGACGGGCAUGGAAGGCUCUUACCAGGCAAAUGAAUUGUCCUAUGCAGGGGACUACAUUGGUACUCAGCCAGUGCGCUCCCAUUACCCGUGGUUUGACCCAAGGAUUUCUCAAAUGCAAGGCGACAGGGUUAAUUUCCUACAGAUGAUCCCGCCUUACUCAUUGGCCUAUCCGGGCCAUCAGUUUGGAACAUCGACACAUCCUCUUGCUGUUGUGAGUAACAAUUGCGUUCCGGUGACUGGACAACAUGCUACCCCAGUUGUCAAACAUAAAGAAAAUGCAUUAGUGUUGAGUCCAGGCUUUGGCAUGAACAUGUCAUACACACAAAUGUUGCUUGCAGCUGAAUCGGAGGAUCCUCUAUUUGGUUCACCACACACAGAGUACUAUCCUGUUGGGGCUGAGAACGAGACAUUUAUGGUAACUGGACGGAACACAAGGUUGGGCGAGCUAGUUGACAUGGACAAUCCAGAAUCAAGCAACUACAUUGAACAAGAUGAUCCUAGCAAUUGGAUUAACAACCAGAGAGAUUUCCAGGAGGCUGAUUUAGCAUUGCAAACUGUCACAUGGGAUGAUGGCGUCCCAGCUCCUGGUGCAGAGCUUUUGCAGGCUCUAGGCAUUUGUCCUGGAGACAAUCAAAAUGAAGACAAUACAUGA
rnacentral:rRNA from 1 species